GCCAACCAGGCAACGCGCCGCAUCAGCUCAGCUCUCAUGUCCGCCGCGGCGGCGCACCCGCCAUCGCCAUGGCCGCCGCCGCCACCUCCGCCGGCGCCGACUGGACCCGACUCCCUCACCUCCCUUCUCGGCUCCCUCUCCACCCCCUCCGCCGCGCGCCUCCUCCCCUGCCCCGUCCUCGCCUUCUCCCAGCUCCGCCGCCUCCUCCCCUCUCCCCACCUCCUCCUCCGCCCCAUCAUCUCCCUCCUCCACCUCCACGGCUCCAGCCCCCGGCUGGGCCUGCAGCUGCACGCGCUGUCCCUCUCCCUCGGCCUCUCCCGGGACCCGCUCCUCCUCCGCCGCCUCGUCUCGCUCUACUGCUCCCACCCCUCCCUGCUGCCGGACGCCGCCUCCCUCGCCGCCGGCUCCGCCUGCCCCGUCCCCUACAACAUCCUCAUGUCCUCGUGCCUCGCCCACGGCCUCCCGCGCCAGGCCCUCGCCGCCUACCAGCAGAUGCUCGGCAGCGCCGCGGUCACCCCCGACGCCUUCACCUACCCUUCCGUCCUCCACGCCUGCGCCGAGGCCCGGGACCUCGCGAUGGGCCGGGCGGUGCACACGCACGCCGCGGCCGCCGGGAUGGACGGGCACCUGUUCUUCCAGAACGCGCUGGUGUCCAUGUACGCCAAGUGCGGGGACCUGGUUGCUGCGCGAAGGGUGUUCGACGGAAUGGGGCACAAGGAUGUCGUGUCAUGGAACUCGAUGAUCUCGGCGUAUGCUACGGCCGGGCAAUGGGAAGAAGCGGUGGAGCUGUUUCAGAAGAUGCGAGACGAGGAGGCAGAGGUGAACUCGGUCACGUGGAACACGAUCGCUGGGGUGUACAUUAAGAUGCGCGACCAUAAGGCAGCGGUUGCGCUGAUCAGGGAGAUGGUAAGGGGUGGAGCAGAGGUGGAUUUCGUGACAGUGGUGAUUGGGCUGAACGCGUGCUCGCGGGUUGGCUGGCUGAGGCUCGGGAAGGAGAUCCAUGGAUUGGCAGUACGCAUGUGCUGUGACGGGGAACAGAGUGUCAGCAAUGCCUUGAUCACCAUGUAUGCCAGGUGCAAGGAUAUGGAUUGCGCUCACAGGCUGUUUACAAUGCUGGGGUGCCCUGGUGUGGUGACAUGGAAUACGAUGAUAGCUAGUUUUGCAUUGUCAGAUGGGGCAGAAGAGGCUUCCAGAUUUCUUCGUGAAAUGGUAUCUACUGGCGUACAGCCUAAUUAUGUCACUGUUGUCACCUAUCUUGCCCUCUGCGCCCGUAUUGCAAAUCUGCAACAUGGGCGGGAGCUUCACACCCACAUUGUUAAGCACGGGUUUAAAGGAUAUCGAUUGCUGUGGAACUCUCUUAUUGACAUGUACUCCAAGUCAGGCAGGCUCUCUGUAGCGCAAAAUGUCUUUGAUACCAUGGAGGACCGUGAUAUGAUAUCCUACACUUCAAUGAUAGCAGGAUACGGGAUGCAAGGGAAAGGAUCAGUUGCGCUAAGGCUUUUCGACCAGAUGAUUGAUAGUGGGAUUGAGCCAGACAGCAUUAUCAUGGUCACCGUCCUCUCUGCUUGCAGCCACUCUGGACUUGUGACUCAAGGAGAAGAGCUUUUUGACAAGAUGACCAGUUCAUAUGGUAUAAAGCCCCAGACAGAGCAUUAUACUUGCAUGGUUGAUCUAUAUGCGCGUGCUGGCCUAUUAGAAAAGGCAGAAGGGAUGCUCAAUCGGAGCUCUUUCAUUCCAACCCCCGCGAUGUGGGCAGCGUUAGUUGGGGCUUGUCAUGACAGGGGUAACAUAAUAAUUGGUGAAAGGGCAGCAAGGAGACUCUUGGAGAUGAGGACAGAGAAUGCUGGUCACUAUGUUCUAAUUGCCAACAUGUAUGCAGCUGCAGGUUGUUGGGAUGAGCUAGCAGAAGUCAGGAAGCUGAUGCGAGACUCAGGUGUCAUGAAAGCACCUGGGUUGGCAUGGGCUGAUCUCGGUAAUGGGUUUACCCCUUUUUUGGUUGGAGAUAGGUCAAACCCUCUAGCACCAGAGAUCUAUGAAGUUUUGGAUGAACUAUCGGAGCAAAUGAAGGAUAUAAAUAGCUGCAGUGAUCUAGAAAUGGUAGAGGGACUCAUAGAGUAAACCAGGCAAUGGUAGGUCUUGAUUCCUUGUAAAAUAGAGUUAAUUAAUUAACUCUAGUGGUAUUUCACAUUGAAGCAUGGAGGUGAUAACAUGAAGAAACACUGAAGCAACAGAUACAUCUACAGAUAAUCUUGGGGAGAAAGGCACUACAAGAGGUCUCCUCAAUGUUUGCUGAACAAGACAUGUUCCUAACUGAUAUGUCUUCUCUACAUUGGCCUUUACAAAGCAGUGUGCUUAUGUCCAAUGCUUGCCUGAGUGUUACUUCCUCUCGACAAGCGCUGCUUGUUAGGUCAUAUUGAUGUGAUUUGGCUAAAUUCUUGUCUGCUGCAAGGGAAAUUUAAGCUAGUAAUUGGGGAAGACACGAAUUAGCUGGUGCUUUAGCAAGAGCUGCUCCUCUUACAGCCCGUUUUAACAUUUGCUGGCCCGAAGGCUAGCUGUUGUGCCCACUGAAAUCUGUACUGGCGUCAGGGCGACAUUAGCAUGUAUGACAUGCUUCCUACCGUGUUAGUCAUAAAAAUCUCUCUCCCUCUCUCCCUCUCUCUCUCUCUCUCUCUCUCUCUCUCUCUCUCUCUCUCUCUCCCGCUUCCGCUCCCUCUCUCUCUCUCUCUCUAGCAAGAUCAAGAUCCUGGGAGUCCAAAUAUAAUUUGAUUUGGGCAAAGUAACUAGGCAGGUGGCUUCUGAUGCAGGUGGAAGUAUUUCUCUAAAUCAGAAUGCUUCCGCAAAACCCUGGGCUCAGUUGCACGCCUCUUGACUACUUUUGGAGAAUUCUCCUAUUUCCAACCAACAUCUUUGAGGCGUUAAUAUCAUAUAUAUGUGUGUGUGUUUUUUCUUAUUGUGAUUUCAAGGUUUAUUC